rnacentral:rRNA from 1 species
GAUGAACGCUGACAGAAUGCUUAACACAUGCAAGUCGAUGGGGAAGUGGUGCUUGCACCAUGGCAACCAUGGCGGACGGGUGAGUAACGCGUAAGGGACUUACCUGCAGGACUGGGAUAACAGGGGGAAACUCCUGACAAGACCGGAUAAUGUCAUGGAGCUGCAUGGCUUUAUGAUGAAAGGAGACGCCUGCGGAGAGCCUUGCGUCCUAUUAGCUAGUUGGUGAGGUAAUGGCUCACCAAGGCGAAGAUAGGUAGCCGGCCUGAGAGGGUGGACGGCCACAAGGGGACUGAGAUACGGCCCUUACUCCUACGGGAGGCAGCAGUGGGGAAUAUUGGACAAUGGGGGCAACCCUGAUACAGCAAUUCUGUGUGCACGAAGAAGGUUUUCGGAUUGUAAAGUGCUUUCAGCAGGGAAGAAGUAAGUGACGGUACCUGCAGAAGAAGCGACGGCUAAAUACGUG